UACAGAGGGUGCAAGCGUUAAUCGGAAUUACUGGGCGUAAAGCGUGCGUAGACGGUAGCGUAAGUCGGGUGUGAAAGCCCCGGGCUCAACCUGGGAAUUGCAUUCGAGACUACUCUGCUAGGGUGCGGAAGAGGGGAGCGGAAUUUCCGGUGUAGCGGUGAAAUGCGUAGAUAUCGGAAGGAACACCAGUGGCGAAAGCGGCUCCCUGGUCCAGCACCGACGUUCAGGCACGAAAGCGUGGGGAGCAAACAGG
rnacentral:rRNA from 1 species